rnacentral:rRNA from 1 species
UACGAAGGGGGCUAGCGUUGUUCGGAAUCACUGGGCGUAAAGGGCGCGUAGGCGGCUUUGUAAGUCGGGGGUGAAAGCCUGUGGCUCAACCACAGAAUUGCCUUCGAUACUGCAUGGCUUGAGACCGGAAGAGGUAAGUGGAACUGCGAGUGUAGAGGUGAAGUUCGUAGAUAUUCGCAAGAACACCAGUGGCGAAGGCGGCUUACUGGUCCGGUUCUGACGCUGAGGCGCGAAAGCGUGGGGAGCAAACAGG